UAACUGGAUUAUAGCUUCUUGUUCAUUCUUGUUGCAAUCUUUGUAGACGGGAAUUUGUGGGACAUGUAUAUCUGAGGGUGGUUUAGAUAAUUCAAGGAAAAGUUUUAAUAUUUGGGCAUGCAAUAUACUUUGCUUGACACUAACGGUUUGACGAUUGAGAACUUCACAAGCGUUUCGUAAAGGCAUUUCUAAAUCUUCCCGACCUUGUAUACCCAUUUUGUCACAGAUGCUAGAUCAAGUUAGUCUUAACAUUCCAACAACAAUCGGCAGAUCUGCUUUACGUUACCCUUUUAUAUGUUCUAUCAUUUCAUGAAAUACCAAUGUCGAACUAGGGACAUUUUGAAUGAUUUUCUUUGAAUGUUUUAACCAUUCACUAGCAACUAAUGAAUCAUUAUGUAUUAGUUCCCUUAAGAGAUGCUGUAGGAUUUGAUCCGCACGAGACAUUGUCAUUUACAGUUCUUGAUAAAACAUUUAUUAAGCUUUGCCUGUAUUCUCAUAUGUUCUUUAUUAUGUGCUGAUAUUGCUAAAAUGCCGAUUAAGGAGUGUAUAUUUCGUAUACUAUCGCGAAUGAAGGAAAAUUUUUGUUUGACAUGAGAGAAAUGAGUUGAGUCAAUUUAUGACUGAAGGGGGUUAAUCAUUAUUUGCCGUUAAGCUG